UGGGGAAUUUUGGACAAUGGGCGCAAGCCUGAUCCAGCCAUUCCGCGUGCAGGAUGAAGGCCCUCGGGUUGUAAACUGCUUUUGUACGGAACGAAAAGGCCUUUUCUAAUACAGAGGGCUCAUGACGGUACCGUAAGGAUAAGCACCGGCUAACUACGUGCCAGCAGCCGCGGUAAUACGUAGGGUGCAAGCGUUAAUCGGAAUUACUGGGCGUAAAGCGUGCGCAGGCGGUGAUGUAAGACAGGUGUGAAAUCCCCGGGCUCAACCUGGGAACUGCAUUUGUGACUGCAUCGCUGGAGUGCGGCAGAGGGGGAUGGAAUUCCGCGUGUAGCAGUGAAAUGCGUAGAUAUGCGGAGGAACACCGAUGGCGAAGGCAGUCCCCUGGGCCUGCACUGACGCCCAUGCACGAAAGCGUGGGGAGCAAACAG
rnacentral:rRNA from 1 species